GAUCCGGAGUUGCGCGAUCGUAACGCCCGAACCUUGUCAGGACCGGAAGGUAGCAGCAAUAAGGGAUGCUUAUGAUAGGCGCAAGCCUCCGGGUCGUC
rnacentral:SRP_RNA from 1 species